GAUGAACGCUAGCGGCAGGCCUAACACAUGCAAGUCGAGGGGCAUCAUUAUCUGUUUACAGAUAGAUGGCGACCGGCGCACGGGUGCGUAACGCGUAUAGAACCUACCUUAUAAUAAGGGAUAGCCUGAAGAAAUUUGGAUUAAUACCUUAUGAUAAUAUAGAUUGGCAUCGAUUUAUAUUUAAAGAUUUAUUGUUAUAAGAUGGCUAUGCGUUCUAUUAGCUAGUUGGUAUAGUAACGGUUUACCAAGGCUACGAUAGAUAGGGGUCCUGAGAGGGAGAUCCCCCACACUGGUACUGAGACACGGACCAG
rnacentral:rRNA from 1 species